CUAAUUUUUUUAAUUAAAAAAGUGAAAUCCCUUUUAUUUCAAAAAACAUAAAAAGAAAGACAUAUCAUUGUUUUGAAAUAAAUCUAACACUACUUUUCUCCAAAUUGCAUACUACACUCAAAUCCAAGAGUAGAUAAAUCCAACUCAUGGGUGGUAAUGUAUUUAAAAGAACUUGUUGGCCUCUGUUUCAAACAUUACUGCAUAAUCUUUUUUCUUUUUUUCUUUUUUUCUUUUUCUUUUUUGGCAUGAAUUAAGUUUCAAUGUAGGGAGGGCCUUUAUAUUUGGUUGUACAGAGAGAUAUGGGGUUGGUCAAGUUUGAUACCCAUGUUCUUGCGGUUCAUGGGGUGAACUGGAAGAUUGGUGUGUUGCCUUCCUAUCUAUGUCUAUCAAGAUUGAACUCGAGUUUGGAGAAGGAGCCGUAGAAGAAACGGAUCACCGUUUUCUUGGAACUGUAUUACACCGAUACAACCCGAAUUUUCUCUAUCUUGCAGAUCAGCAUGUCCUUGGUUGGGGGUAUCACUGGCCCUUGUGUUAUAUGCGUGUGGAGUGUAUUGGAUCCAGGAGGAUAGGUUGGAUGUGGGAUGUAGGAUCUGAUCCACAGGUCCAACUCGAAAGGUAUUGGUGGUGAAUUUGGAAUAGGCAACGGAUUGUUCCAUUCCUAAAGGUGGGCAGAAACUUGGGAUAGCUUGGGUGACUAGAAUUGGAUGCAGCAAGGAGUCUCAUUUAUAUAGGCCAAGCUAGCCGCCUACUUUGGUGGUGGGUGGGAUAUUGUUCAAAAGCAGCCCAAACUCCUAUUGGAUGGUUGUUAUUAUGAUGUUCCACUAGGGCUGCUCAUCCUCACUCGAGUGAAACCAAAUCCGUGCUUCUGAGGCAAGCGCGUGUAUGUGGCUUACGCUACUGGAUUACUUUUGCUAGUUUCUUCCAUGUUUUGCCAAUCUGGGCCCAUAUAAUAGAUCCGCUUGAGUGUAUGUGUCUUGUAAGCAUCGCCAAGUUUAGAUCAUUGCUCCAUCUCCCGCCUUUGUUCGGUUGAAAUGUGGCAAGCUUGUACCAAAGGAGGGCAGUCAGGUUACACUUCUUCAGUUCGAGAGCUUUCAAGAUCUAUUUGUUUAGGAGACAGUCCAUUGCAUCUUCCGAGUCAGUGAUGCUUACUUUCUCUUGCUUUUUGAGGAUUCAUGUCAACCACGCCACUCAUGCACUUGUACGAUGUUCUCUUCCAGUCCAAAGAUAGUUCCUGAGGAGAGCCUUGAUUUGUUUAAUAACCUUCCGUGAGCAUGUUCAUACCCCCACGAAGUACUAGCGUGUUGAUAGUAGAAUUUGAUUUACAACGAGUUUGUGUCCUGCUUAAGACAAUUUUGUUGAGACCAAAAAUGUGAGUUUCUGCUAGAUCUUUCCUUUUAAUAAAUUGUCAAUAUCAGGUGUACUAA